UCCCUCUCAGGAUUGCACCUGGAGAGUUUCCAAUACCCUACCAGUCUUUACUAUGGGAGGGAGAGUCAAGCAGAGGCAUAUCCAUUCCAUUCCUAGCUUGGGCAGUGGCUAGUGAGUGGAAGGACAUCUGCUACAAGU
rnacentral:snoRNA from 1 species